rnacentral:SRP_RNA from 2 species
GCCGGGCGCGGUGGCUCACGCCUGUAAUCCCAGCACUUUGGGAGGCCGAGGCGGGAGAAUCGCUUGAGCUCAGGAGUUUUGAGACCAUCAGCCUGGGCAACAUGGCGAAACCCCGUCUCUA